rnacentral:lncRNA from 1 species
AGCAACUCAUCCAAGACUUGCAAAUGUGAGUGGAAAAUAUUUUGCAGACUGUAAUGAAGUUUGGGUUCCAAUUUAACAGAGGCAGCACGCAUAUGGUCAGCUUCUGAGAUUAUAGUUUCUAAAAAUUCUAAUGCACAUUUAGAUCCAUUAGAGACCCUGCUCUGAUUCUCACCAAAAAAGAAAAGAAAAAAUCAGUGAAGGACAUAGUACUGUAGUAAUUUUGGUAUUACGAGAAAUUAGUGAGUUCUUGUAUAAAGAAAAAGUUUUUGCGAUAAUAUAGCAGGAUAUAUGUAUACACAAAUCUAGGAGUAUGUUUGUAUAGUAAUUAAGCUAGAUAAUUUAAUAUGUACAUUGCUUUAUUUUCUUCGUAUAUGUAAGUUUGUGAAGUUUAAUUUGAUGCUUACCAAUCGUAAAAUUUCUGAUUGGCAGUUUAUUUACAUGUAAUUGAUGAAUAAAUUUGUAAUACUAAUAUAUGUGGAUAUAUGGUAAACU